AGCGAACGCUGGCGGCAGGCUUAACACAUGCAAGUCGAGCGGGCACUUUCGGGUGUCAGCGGCGGACGGGUGAGUAACGCGUGGGAACGUGCCCUCUGGUUCGGAAUAACUCAGGGAAACUUGAGCUAAUACCGGAUACGCCCUUUUGGGGAAAGGCUUGCUGCCGGAGGAUCGGCCCGCGUCUGAUUAGCUAGUUGGUGAGGUAACGGCUCACCAAGGCGACGAUCAGUAGCUGGUCUGAGAGGAUGAUCAGCCACACUGGGACUGAGACACGGCCCAGACUCCGACGGGAGGCAGCAGUGGGGAAUAUUGGACAAUGGGCGCAAGCCUGAUCCAGCCAUGCCGCGUGAGUGAUGAAGGCCUUAGGGUUGUAAAGCUCUUUUAUCCGGGACGAUAAUGACGGAACCGGAGGAAUAAGCCCCGGCUAACUUCGU
rnacentral:rRNA from 1 species